rnacentral:rRNA from 1 species
CCUACGGGAGGCAGCAGUGAGGAAUAUUGGUCAAUGGACGAGAGUCUGAACCAGCCAAGUAGCGUGAAGGAUGACUGCCCUAUGGGUUGUAAACUUCUUUUAUAUGGGAAUAAAACGUUCCACGUGUGGGAUUUUGUAUGUCCCAUAUGAAUAAGGAUCGGCUAACUCCGUGCCAGCAGCCGCGGUAAUACGGAGGAUCCGAGCGUUAUCCGGAUUUAUUGGGUUUAAAGGGAGCGUAGGUGGAUUGUUAAGUCAGUUGUGAAAGUUUGCGGCUCAACCGUAAAAUUGCAGUUGAAACUGGCAGUCUUGAGUACAGUAGAGGUGGGCGGAAUUCGUGGUGUAGCGGUGAAAUGCUUAGAUAGCACGAAGAACUCCGAUUGCGAAGGCAGUUCACUGGACUGCAACUGACACUGAGGCUCGAAAGUGUGGGUAUCAAACAGGAUUAGAUACCCGGGUAGUC